UGAACAAUGAGUUCAGCUAGGGUGUACUGG
rnacentral:piRNA from 1 species